CUUCAGCGAACCCAGCCACAGCGGCUGCCCCUCGCCGCGUUCGCGGCCGUACGUGGCCAGGAGCGCCUGGGCCUC
rnacentral:antisense_RNA from 4 species